UCCUGGUUAGCUCAGUUGUUAGAGCGCUCCACUGGAAAUGCAGAGUUCCCUGGUUCGAUAGCAGGAUCAAGCG
rnacentral:tRNA from 1 species